rnacentral:rRNA from 1 species
AGCGAACGCUGGCGGCAGGCUUAACACAUGCAAGUCGAACGGAUCCUUCGGGAUUAGUGGCGGACGGGUGAGUAACACGUGGGAACGUGCCUUUUGGUUCGGAACAACACAGGGAAACUUGUGCUAAUACCGGAUGUGCCCUUCGGGGAAGGAUUAUCGCCAUUAGAGCGGCCCGCCGUCUGAUUAGCUAGUUGGUGAGGUAAAGGACUCACCAAGGCGUACGAUCAGUAGCUGGUCNGAGAGGAUGAUCAGCCACACUGGGACUGAGACACGGCCC